CUAUUACUGGGGAAGGGCUAAUCUUCACCUCCAAGGCAUCUGGAAAUAAAAUAUCAUAAGCAUAACAAUAGCGAUUGCAAACCCUUUGUGAUCUAGGGCUUUUAGAACAAAAAUUAGACAAUGUUAUGUUCCCUUCUUUUUUGUAUGAGAGCAAAAUUGUUGAGAGGAGCCAUUGGAGCUCAUUAAUAACUGUUUUGCUGCACAAACAAAAGUGAAGGGACACCAGCUGAAUCAAUUGGCUUCAUUACUGAUACAUUGUUAGCUGGGAGCAUAUCCCAUUGAGCUCAAUAAACUGGAUUUGCAGUUCCACUCAUAAAAAUUUCCAUGGAAGAAAUAAGUAUAGCCUGAAAUAUUUCCCACCUAAAGUAGACCGCACAGUAUUUCAUAAUGGCCAGAAUAUGUCCAACAUGUGCAUGAACAAGCCACUCUGCUGGCUUCAGAAUACCUAUUCAUGCAUGCAUCAUCAGUAGAGUAUAAAAUUAUUUUCUUCACUAAGAGAGUUUUUCUGGGUCUGGGUUCACAAACUAGAAAGAAAUGAUUAAAUAGAUAUUUAAAUACACAUGUGCCUUUUCUCCUGAUAGAACUACAAAGAUCAAAACCACUUUGAACUCAGGACACACCUUAUUGCAGUUCAACCAGGAAAUUCUGCAGGGGAGUGGAAAUCUGGGAUUAUGUACUUCAUGCAGAGGCUGCAAAAGCCUGUUUCCUGACUAGAAGAGAAGUCCAGAACAACAACCUAUUAUGCAGAGAUGCAAAGCACAACCACUUUUUCAGGGCAGGAAAUUCUCAGCUUUGAGUGGUAGCCAUUCCACAAAGCAAAAGGGAAAGUGGAAAGUAGUCUUACCUGCAGCCAUGAGACACAACAGGAGCAGCAACACUUCCAUCGUACGGUCCCUUUAUAAAAAGAAAGGAAGAAAUGGGAGGUGCUGGACUUUGGCUAUACAUUAACAGAUCAAAAGUACACAAGUAUUGCCAGUAAGGAAAGUGGGACAGUGGAUUGGCUUCACCCUCAAAAGGCGCUGCUUUGAAAUUGAAAGAUUUAAGAAUGAGAUCGAGUACGCAGUGCAGAAACAGGAAGCAAUGCCACCAAUAUUCUCAUUUAGGAAUACAUCCUAUUGAAUUUGGUGACACUAGUAAACAUGCUUAUUAGAUCAUGGCAGCUGCAUGUGUUGCAAAUAUCAGUUGAGGUAAGGAAUGUUGCCCUUCAGAUCCUGAUCAUUUACAGCCUGGAAGUACAAAAUGAAAUUAUUACCCCCUGAUUAAAAUUCUGUCCCCCGCAAGAAAUUUUAUUUCAGUUCACACAUUUCUAGCACUGAAGCUAGAACAUCAGCCCUGGCCUUGUCUUUCUCAACUGCAGAGUAUGCCUGUCCUCUUUGGCACAAGUCUGCCCAUGCAAAGCAGGUGGACAUAGCACUGAAUGAAACAUGCAGAAUCAUCACGGGAUGCCUUAAACCUACACCUGUUGAUAAACUCUACAAGUUAGCUGGCAUUGCCCCUCGUGACGUGCGACGGGAAGUUGCUGCUAACGGUGAGAGAAAAAACGUUGAACAUUGUCAAAGCCACCCACUGCAUGGCUAUCACCCUCCUCCCACCAGACUCAAAUCAAGGAAGGGCUUCAUGAGAACCACCACUCCUCUUGAUGUUCCUCCAGCAACAGCAAGGGUGUCCCUCUGGGCAGCUAAACCUGGCAAUUCUAACUGGAUGGCCCCCCAUGAGGGUCUUCCUCCAGGGGCAAACCAGGAAUGGGCAACAUGGAAGUCCCUAAACAGACUCAGAAGUGGAGUGGGCAGAUCAAAAGACAACUUAGCAAGGUGGCACUACCUGGAGAAAUCCUCCACCUUGUGUGACUGUGGAGCUGAACAAACAACUCAGCAUAUGUAUGCUUGCCCACAAUGCCCUGCCUCAUGUACGGAGGAGGAGUUGUUUAAAGCUACAGACAAUGCGGUUGCUGUUGCCCGCUUUUGGUCCAAAACUAUUUAGUUGCUUGUGAUUUCUUUUCUUUUUUAUUUUAUUUCCAUUAUUUGAAAUGUAUUUGCUGUACCAAUGCUUUUGACACGAAAUAAAUAAAUAAGCACUGAAGCUGAAGAUUUUAAAAAUGCA